rnacentral:tRNA from 1 species
AGUGUCACGCCGGAUGAACGGGUUACUUUGAUGAGGUAAAAAAUAAGGAUUAUCCCUUUGACACUC